rnacentral:lncRNA from 1 species
CCGGUGAGGAAGUGAGUUUCUGGAGAGUUUUAAUGAGAUUGAAAUAUUGAAUUCGAGUAGAAUUAUCCUUCUCCACGGGACACACGCUGUUCUAAUAUUUUUCUUUGAUCCCAUAUCAGUAAAAUAGAGAACCCCUUUCCCCCUAACGCCUAUAAAAAAGAUCCCAGCUUACAAAAGAAAAAGUAUCCAAAAGUGGGGGAGGCAU